rnacentral:rRNA from 1 species
UACGUAGGGUGCGAGCGUUGUCCGGAAUUAUUGGGCGUAAAGGGCUCGUAGGCGGUUUGUCGCGUCGGGAGUGAAAACCAUGGGCUUAACUCAUGGCUUGCUUCCGAUACGGGCAGACUAGAGGUAUGCAGGGGAGAACGGAAUUCCUGGUGUAGCGGUGAAAUGCGCAGAUAUCAGGAGGAACACCGGUGGCGAAGGCGAGUCUCUGGACGACACCUGACACUGAGGCACGAAAGCUAGGGGAGCAAACAGG